GAUUGGCUCAGGACGAACGCUGGCGGCGUGCUUAACACAUGCAAGUCGAACGAAAAGAGGGAAAGAGCUUGCUCUUUCCGGAAUUGAGUGGCAAACGGGUGAGUAACACGUAAACAACCUGCCUUCAGGAUGGGGACAACAGACGGAAACGACUGCUAAUACCGAAUAAGUUCCAAGAGCCGCAUGGCCCAUGGAAGAAAAGGUGGCCUCUACCUGUAAGCUAUCGCCUGAAGAGGGGUUUGCGUCUGAUUAG
rnacentral:rRNA from 1 species